rnacentral:rRNA from 1 species
GAAUAUUGGACAAUGCCCGCAAGGGUGAUCCAGCCAUGCCGCGUGCAGGAAGACGGCCCUAUGGGUUGUAAACUGCUUUUACACCGGAGAAAACCCCUUCUCGUGAGGAGGGCUGCUAGUAUGGUGAGAAUAAGCAUCGGCUAACUUCGUGCCAGCAGCCGCGGUAAGACGAAGGAUGCAAGCGUUAUCCGGAUUCAUUGGGUUUAAAGGGAGCGUAGGUGGCCUGGUAAGUCAGUGGUGAAAUCUCUGGGCUUAACCCAGAAAUUGCCAUUGAUACUGCAGGGCUUGAGUAUAGAUGCCGUUGGCGGAAUAUGACAUGUAGUGGUGAAAUACAUAGAGAUGUCAUAGAACACCGAUUGCGAAGGCAGCUGACGAAAAUAUAACUGACACUGAGGCUCGAAAGUGUGGGGAUCAAACAG